rnacentral:tRNA from 1 species
UGUAACUCAGUGGUAGAGUACUUGCCUAACAUGCACAAGGCCCUGGGUUCAAUUCCCAGUA